UACGUGAGCCCCAAGCGUUAUCCGGAAUUACUGGGCGUAAAGAGUGCGUAGGUGGUCGUGUUAGUCCUCUCCAAAAUCCAUCGGCUCAACCGAUGAACUUGAGGGGAAACGGCACGACUUUGAGUGCGUGAGAGGUUUGCGGAACUCAUGGUGUAGGGGUGAAAUCCGUUGAUAUCAUGGGGAACACCAAAUGCGAAGGCAGCAAACCGGCGCGUCACUGACGCUGAGGCACGAAAGCGUGGGGAUCAAACAGG
rnacentral:rRNA from 1 species